AGGUUAAGUGAAUAAGGGCGCACGGUGGAUGCCUUGGCACUAGGAGCCGAUGAAGGACGGGACUAACACCGAUAUGCUUUGGGGAGCUGUAAGUAAGCUAUGAUCCAGAGAUUUCCGAAUGGGGGAACCCAGCAUCUUUUAUAGGAUGUUACACAGUUGUGAAUACAUAGCAGCUGUGAGGUAGACGCAGAGAACUGAAACAUCUAA
rnacentral:rRNA from 1 species